rnacentral:misc_RNA from 1 species
UAAAACACCGCUCUUUAUAUCCCAAAAAAAAGGAAGCAGAAGAAAAAGAGCGGUGUUUUAUUUAUAUUUUUGCUUUAACUAGAUAAAACUGAUUUCAAAUUAGCUGACUAGAUUUUGAAUGGGAUUUAUGAUUUUAUCUUACUCACCUAAGUAGUUUGGAAAUCAUACUAUUCUUGCUUAUUAUCUCAAUUUGAUGCUACAGUCUACA